ACAGAGAGAAGAGAACGCAGAGGGUGGGAGGCAGGGAGGGAGACCAAACCCCCGCUUUACUGCGUUGAACGCUUCUGAAUUUCAAGCAGAAAGUAGAAGGAGCCCCACUCGGCAAUGAGCGUCUUUCCUUGGGCUGCGUGUGCAGAGCGUAGACAAUGAAAAUCUCCAUCCCCCUCCCCCAUCCCCGCUAGGCUACAAGAUUUUUAUUGUCGUUCCUUCUCAGCGGUGGAAGAUGUGCAAAAUCAAACCUAUAGAGAUGUGUACAUAUUUUUUCAACAAACAAAUCAAACGGGCUGAGACGCGGAUUACCCAAACGCGCACCGGCUGGGUGCGUGCUGGGGAAUCUGCGCUGGACUGGCUCUCCGCGCUCUCUCCAGCCGCAGCUGGGAUCUACGCCGCCCAGGGACCGUGGUGGUUGAGGAACCUUCCUUUCUCGGACGCCGGAGCCAGAGCGGGCCUUUCCCUUGGGCCGACCGCGCCGUAGGGGACGCCGCGAAAAGAGCCGCUGCGCCGCCAGCUCCUGCCCGCUGCUCAGAGGGCUCCGCCCGUAGAGGUCAACUCCCCUCACCCCUUCCUCUCUCCUGCUCGCCCUCCCUCCGCCCGGCCCAGGUUCCUCCAGCCUCCUGACUCUUGCCGCAGUCUGAGGAGAGCGCGUCGGCUGCGCUGUUCUGAGCCAUAACCCCUAGCCGGGCCCAGACCAGAGGUCUGCGCUUCCCGGCAGUGGGGAAGCCUUAGCGGGCUGGCUUUUCUCUCUGCACCAAAUCUGUAGCCAGACCAGAUGGGCCGCCCGGCUCUCUCGGGACUAGGCAGGUGCGGUUGAGUUAAUUUUUCCGCAUUACAAAGAAAGACGACCCAGCCCGCCCUUGGACUCUCAUCUCUUCCCCAAAUCUCCCAACCGAAACCGCGGUAACGUUAUCACAGGACACAGAGACUAGGCAUAUCUGCGUGUUUAUCUUACACACGCGCGCGCAUGGUUAUUUUUCCGUCUAUGUGCUAGAUCUCAUUCCCGACAGCAAGAAAUGAUUGACAAAGCUUUCUGCAGCAGAACGUGCAAUGGCGCGGUCCUUAAAAUCUGCCAUUCCUUACAAGUGACUUAGAAGAGAUGCAGGGCGAACCAACUCGGUUAAUUGCCUUCAGGAAAAUAACACGAUUACGAAAUUAGAUCUGUACCAGAGGGGUAAUUAACUUCGAUCCACGCCGUCAUUUGAAAACUAGAUUUAUAGGCGAAUGUAUGUUUUUAGGUGUGCUGUAAAUGGCAUGCAGAUAUAUGCAUAUGUAUACGCAGACACAUGCAUCGUCUACACUUCCACCGAACAGACUAAUUAGCAGCGGCUCUGGCAGCUGUGGCAGGAGGCGAGCUGAGACAGGAGCCGGGCUUCUGAGUUAUGACUCUGGGGGAGUCCUAGAGACUCAGAGCCCAGGGGAGGGGGAAGGGCAGGAGGAGAAGAGGUGUAUUCGCAGUGGGUCAGUUACUUGCCGGAUCAAGAUCAGACUCUGCCCUCCGUGUUCACAGCGGACCUUGAUUUAAUGUCAUACAAUUAAGGCACGCGGUGAAUGCCAAGAGCGGAGCCUAUGGCUGCACUUGAAGGACACCAGAGCGUCUCAGGACGAGAAAAAGGAAAAGGCAAUCACAAGGGGGUUUGAGAGGUAGUAGAACAAACUCAUCGUUUGCCGCAUAAAGACCCUCAAACUGAUUCCAGAACCAUCCUAGCAUUCCCAAAGUAAAAUGGUCAUAGUUUUCACCAAAAGCCUUGGAAAUCUGCAGGUGCAUCCCCGAAAGAGAUUUUAGGAGAACUUCAGUGACAGGAGCUUCCGCGGUCAAGAGAGCAGGAGUUCCCGUUUGUGCACAUAUUCUAGAGUUGAACUGUUUAGAAAGCAGAGGUUCUUUAAAGAUCAAGUAGGAUGCUUGCAUUCUGGGCCAAGCGGCGGAAACACAACAACAGAGAGGAUAAUAAUGUUAAUGGCGCCCUCAUCACAUUGCAUAAGAAACCUCAAAUGUCUCAGCUCCUUCGGGGAACCCCCCACCACUACCACCACUGUCCCCCAUCCCCUCCCCUCCUAUUCUCCUCCUAGUAUGCAGUCUGCCUUGCCCGGCUUUAGAAAGCCAAGAUAAUUUCCUUGUAUCGACGUAGUCACGAUGGCCAAAUCAGUAAAAGGAGUAGGACAAGGGAAAAAGGCCAGGCCUGAAAGUUUAGAAGGACUCGGCAAAAUAAUGUAUUUGGAAGCCAAUGAAGUGGACUUUGUUAAGGUAGUCGUUCUGCACCUCGGCCUUGGAGCCAAAAGCAAACCCAGGCUACGAAAGCGAGCCUUGCUAGAUGUCUUUGUUCCGCCUUGGCCUGCAGGGGCAGGGAACAAAGGAGAGAUGCUGAGAGAGGAUUCACCAAAGUGGCCGCGCCCGUUGCUCCGGGUGCUGUCCGCGGUGCUGACCUUGGCCUUCUCCUCUCUGUGAUGUAACCAAACAGCGAUAGGACCCUCCCGCCCCCAUCCCAAAGAAUAACAGAAUAUUAGGUAAUUUGAAAAAAGAAAAAGAAAAUUAAAAGCAGAGAAAUACCGCAUACAGCAAAACGUAAUAUUUUACCAAAAUAGUCCACUCUAGAUGUUGCCACACUUGACUGGCCCUUUUCCGUCUUCCUGUAGUUAAUGCAGUUAAUGUACGUAUAUUGGGAAACAGUUUCACCUUAUUUAGACUGAAACCCGAAUCUAAGCAAUGGGCGGGACUUGCAAGGAGAAUGAGAAGAAUGAAGGCUCCAUUUUUUUUCUUUCUUAAGUCAUCUUCCUUAAAACAACAAACUUAAAGUCCUCAGCUGCGUACCUAAGCAGUGCCAGUGUGGUCAGUAAAGGGAAGCGCGACGGACUCAGUUGUGGACCUCAAGAUUUACCAGGAAGGGACGGGAUGGGGACUGACUAGGUGAAACCAAGCGGGAGCCCACCCAGCAGGCCCUGCCGCCUCAGGCAACAAGGGCAGCCUUCCUAGGCAGGUCCAGAGCUCCAAGCUUUGCAGACCUCGCUGAUGGGAGGCGCUUGCUCAGCGCUUCCUGGCCGGCGGGAGGCACUGCAGGCCAGAAGACCCGAAAGCCGCACUGCGGAAAAACUGACUACAGCAUCCUCCUCCUCAAAGCUCUGGCAGUUGGAAAAAGGGCAGGUUGGCUUACUAAAUGGCAGGCAAUGAAGAUUCUCUUUAGGAGUCGAGGGGCGUAUUGGUCAGUAUUCAUAUAUUCAAUAAAUCUUUAAAUCUCACAGCAUAUUUCAUUGUCUUAGGUAUUGAGAACAUUAAAUGUAAAUAAUAAAACUUUAAACAUCUUAACGAAGUAAUGAAUCAAAGAGGGGAGAGAGAAACAGAGGGAGAAACAGGAAAUCAAAUAAUUUGUAGCCAGCCUGAGGUCUCAAAAGAAAUUGCUACAUAUUUGCUUGCAUUAGUUUAUAAAUCCACAAACCUGAAAGAUGUUAAAAUUAGGUAAAACAAUCCAGAUUGGCAAUAGAGACAGCAAGACCAGUUUUGAUCCAGAUAUAGAAGUGGACCACAAAUGGGUCAUACAUUUCAUCAGAUUCAUUCUUUUACACCUGGAUGGUGGAGAUACAUCAGAUGAAUCUGAAAAUAAAGUUGUGAAGCACAACAUGCUCAGGGAAUAGUCUCACUUCCUUCCCUUAGGGUGGAUUUUAUUUAUUCUCUGAUUUUAGAACUCUGUGAGUUAGGUCUUUCAUGUCCAUUGGUGACUUGUUUAUAUUUCACUUUAUAUAAUUCAGGAGGGAAUGAAUAAAACACACUUUAAAAAAGGGGUGCUACUCAAAUCAUAAAAGGAAUGUGUUAGGAAGCAUUCCUCUCGUGCCAGUUAGGAAUAGUCACUGGUAACUGAAAUGGGUUUAAAGCAUUACACGUUAUCAUGGAAGCUUAUUUCAUUCCAAAUUCAUGCAACUGCACAGAUCUCCUGCACCCACAUUCACAUGGUUACCUCAUGAAGCAAUAAGAGCCAAGGUUGCAAAAUACUUUUGCCUUAGUUGGGUUAUAAUUCAUAUUACAUAAUAGAAACACAUCUACUCCCCCUCACACCAAUCCUUCCUGUUUAGGACAACCUAAGCUUGUCCUCCAGAAAGCGUAAUAAGUUUUAAAAUUACUUUUUAAGUAGAUAUGAGAUACAUUAUAUGAAACAGGUAAAAUACCAUUUAAAUAAGAGAACACACUAUUUAGUGUUCUGGUUACAACGAUUAAAUCCAGAUUGGCUACCAAUCCAUAAUAGUUCUAGAUUUUUAAGACUAUUUUACUUUCUAUUUAUUCUUAAAUUAAUCAUCGGCUUAAUGUCUAUGGACAAUUUGCUAUGAAAUUCUAUGCUCAGCAUUUUUUCCAAUAAAAGAGUUUAAGCUUCGCAAUUGGAGAACUUCAGCAUAGUAUGCCAGGGAAGCCCUUUAACAAUCACAACUUUCAUUUAGUGGUCUGAAAUUAAAGUUUCUCGGAAUAAUUUAGGAACAACUUGACCCUUUAAGAUACUCAAUGACAACCCUCCAGGGAAAUAGUACGUUUCCUUCCUGGGAAGGAGAUGCUAGCGCAGUGCACCGGGGACUUAUACCCUGUCAACAAUGCCAGAGCGCCCUCUGCUGCCAGAAAGAGGCAGGACGCCAGCUACAAUAUCCAGAUGGCAGAGUCGCCAUCAACAGUGAAAGCACUAAGCUCUUAGGAACAUUUAAUCUGUGAAAUUUAAAAGCUCUCAUCAUAUUGUACUUUUGAAGGGGCCACCUGACUUUGAUUCUGAGGACUCCUUGAAUAAUUUUCUUAUAUUUCUGUAGGGUAGUGAAGAGUCAAAUGUUCCAAAGUUUUCAGUCAGUCUAUAGUUAAAUUUCUUCACACUUUCUUUAAAUUUAUAUGGAAAUAUGAAAUUGCAGAUUGAGUUAAAAUCCUUUGUGCUGAAUCUAUGAGUAGAGAGACUCCUAGCUUCUCCAGAUAAACUAAGAUCUAAUAAAGGGGAAAAAUUAAUUAAAGGUAUCUAGUGCAGAUUGUUACAGGACCAAGGUAAAGAAUCAUUUUCUUGUUUUGAUAAUUAACCCAGAUUUUUCUCAGGCUUUCAGUUUGGGAAUAAAAAAUGAGUUAUAUUUGAGGAAGAAGUUAAAAAUUUUGUUUCACCCUAAUAUGUAUAUUCUCUUUAUCCUUGAAAUUUUUUAAAAUGAAUUUAUAUCCAUACUUGGCUUAGAAAGAUUUCUUUAGAAAAGAAUGCACUCUGAGUAUGAGUGAUUUGAUAUGUUUGCAACAUAGGCAAACUCAUAAGAAGGGAUAUUUGCAUUACAAUUGAGUUUUUUAGUAUGGAACAAUCUCUUCUUAAAUGAAAUGGUGGACAUUUUUUAAAAGGUCAAAAAUUCUUUUUCAUUUUUAUGUAUUAUAGGGUUUGUACUUAUUUUUUAAAUGUACAGCCAUAUUAAUUUAAUGUUGUGAAUUUCAAAAUUACAGCUUAUUUCUAAACACACACACACAUCUUUGUCAUGAAGACUAUUGUUGAAUAUAUCAGUGCUAAUGUAAUAAAGUGUUUCUAUUAAUUCUGUGAUUGUUAAAUAAAUCUUGUAAAA